UUUUUCCCCCUCAUUUCUUAUUUUUUGCUAUUUCAUAAGCUUAAAACAAUAGCAGUAUAAACAGAAAUAUCCCUUGACUGAUGGUAAGGAAAUAGGUGAGAGUUUGGAAAACCUUGUAAUUAAAGUGAUUGAUACAAAAAAAAAAAAAAUCGUCCAUUGAAUUUGUUUUUGUGAGCAGUGCUAGUUGCCUUGCCAGUCUGAAGCUGGCACUGUGGGUUUGCUGUAAUCACUGAGCUGAGAAAAAGAGACACAGUUUUGUUUGUUUGUUUGUCAUCGCGGAGUUGAACAGGACAUAAGCAGUUGAAUGCACAACACUUUUCUCUGCUUUCAUCUUCUUCUCUUUGAUUCCACAUAAAUUCCCCUCAAUUCUUCCAGCUUGUUUUUGACCCCCCUUUAGAAUUAGGGCGUAUGUAUUACUCGUGAAUAUCAGCUGGGAAAAUAUGGCUUUCGGUUUUUAAAACAAAUGAUGAUAAAAAUCAACUACGUGUGUCAUUUCAAGUACGCUGUUCGAGUGCCACGUCCCACGGGAGAGUGUGUGUGUUACAUUCAUUGCUUUGGGGACAUCAGAGCUGUAGCCCUUGCCCUGGCCAGAUGUCAGUUCUGCAGGCAGGAUGGCAUGUUGAAUUGGUUGUGGUACAGUGUGGCACAUGGGCAAAUGCCUGCAAUCUGAACCUUGGUCAGGGUGCAAAAUGCUAACAUGUAGACCUCAGGGUUACAGCACAAAGUUGUUCAAAGAUUAGGAGAAGCAAGAAACACACCGGAGAGGAAGAAAUAAUGUAAUCAAACAAGAUGGCACAGAGCAAUGCCAAGGAAAAAAAAAUUCCUUCAGUCAACCAAUCCUGACUCGUUCAUUUCAUUACCAAAGCCAGUAAUCCUCUAUCACUUGGAGAGCAGCUUCAAAAGGCCUGUGCUAUCCAAUAUUUUGAAUGCAGCUGGUUGAAGAUCAAAUAGCGAGAUGACAGUGCCUUUCUUUCACUUCAGUAGUGGGGUCCCUGCCUUGCUGGGUUUCUCUAGUGUCGUGCAGAGGGUCGUACCCCUGGCUCAGCAUUCUCCCAGCAUCGCACAUUGACUGCUCUCCUCAGCCCUGGUUGUAAAGCAUGUGCCAGAGGCAAAGAAAGGGAUGGAAAGACGUGUGGUGGAAAUAUGUUGCACUCUAGCUUUCCUUGGCUUGCAGAUGGUAAAUUCAAGAUUAGUACAAGCUAGCCAGAAAGACUUCUCCAGAGUACUUCCGAAGCUAACAUUUUGGCACAGCAGUCAGCAUUUGCCAUGAGAUGGCUAAUUUGCUUGAACAUUUCUGAGGUCUGACAAGGCAGGUGUAGCACUGAGCAUGAAUUACAGAUCUCUCCUUGUUUCUCAGCUUUGCUACUCGCUCCCUGUGGCUGCAAAUCACCUCUCUAGUGCUGAGCUUCUUUUAAAUCUAUCAUACCUUCAGAUCUUUAUCUGGCAAAAUAUAAAAUGGAGUGUGUCACUGAAGUUGCUUUUGAGUGCACAGGUAGCCAAAGGACUCAUCCUGUAAGCAAAGCUCCUGUUUCCAGUCCAAGGCUUCACAAUUCUGAUACCAACACAAAAGGAUACUGCUUUCUGGAGCUAUGCUACAGUUACAACUGAGGGUCUAGCCCUUAACUGCUUUCCAGCCAGCUCUUCUGGGAGGAGGGAGAAGUCUGCUGUGUCAUGUUCCUCAGCAGCAGGGAUGGGCAGGGAUGGGCAGUGCACACUAGCAGACCUUCAACAGGUUUCCAUUCCUUGGGACUGGCCAAGAUGCUGGCUAGACCACACUGUUCCUUAGGAGCAUGCAGACAGUCCAAUCCCUAGAGAAAUUCUUCAAGAUUACCAGAAUUACCCACCAAGCUUGACUUUAUGCCUUGACACAUCUGUGAGUCAAUAGGGUGGUGAUGCAUUUUGCCAGAUGCUUCUAAAAGUGUUGUCCCGACCCAGCGGUUGUGCUAGUCAUCUCAGUGACACGGUCCUUAGCCAGCUUUCUGUAAGGCAGUCCUGUGGAGAUUGCAUAGGAGCCAGUAUGAAGCACUCAGUAUUUAAAACCUGCCCUUGUCACUGCUAAUGCUUCCGUCUGGGAUGUCUUGAGCCAUAGUGAUGUCAUGACGGCAUAUCCAUGGCAGGCAACUGUUUGAACCCACAUGCACUGUCCCUCAAACUGUUUGUGAGGAUGUGAGUGUCUCGCAUUCCCUAUAUCAGCCCUAUGCACCUUAGCUUCACAGCCAAGCCAGCCAUCCUUAUUAAUAGCGGGCUGGAUUUCUGUGGUGAGACGUUGAGGUUAGGUGUCACAGGGUGCAGUUUCACGAUAAGGACAUGACGUCUGCUGCUCCAGGGGACUGGUAGUGACAGCUCCAGGCAAGUCCAGCCUGGACAUGAGAACCCACCCCUGUGGGACUCGCCCUUGCAGGCCCCUCCAGGGCUGGAGGGCAGGUCUGUCUCAAUGGGGCAGCCUGUGGCAGGCCUCUAGCAGUGCAGCUUUCUGGGCUUGGCCAAGAGCUGCCGCUCAUUUUAAGGUGCAGAAGCCUCCUUCUAAGCACCAAACAGUGUGGCCUUGCCAGCCCUGCCGUUUCCUGCCGGCUCUGGAGAUAAGCCCACAGCGGGUCAGAGCAAAGGUAUCAUCGUGCCCUGCCUCAGGCCGCAGCAAACAGUGGAGCAGCACGAGGGCAGGGGAAGCAGAUAGCGACUCUUCUCAACAUUCUCUGUUUUCAGCAAGCGUCCUCUAUCUGACAGAUCAGCCGAGCCCAUGAGCAUGACCAAAACCACGGCGCUUGUCUGUCAGACCCCACGCAUCCUUCAGGGCAGGGCCUCUCGGCGUCCAUGUUUGCUGUGGGGAAACCCAAGCUAUGGAGCUGCAGAGACGUCUCCAUGCAUGGCUGAGGGCCAGGCAAUUGCUGCCAGCAUGGUUCUUGUGCUGUGUUCUCUCCUCCUGUGCAACGCGAUGGUGUGUUGUCCUGUGCUGUGAAGAAUUAACAUGCGCUGUGCUAGAGGUUGCCAUACUGCAGUGACUAGAACAUCAAGAGUGGGAGAGUAUCCAUUCAACUACAAACUUGCCCGAACCAUGGCUCUCUGCUUUCUCCUCCUUGCCUGGUUGUUGCCCAAGGGAAGACUACAGUCUGGGAUAAACUCUGCUCUCCAACAAACGUAUCACACAUAUGAUGUUUCUGAGCUUGUGCCUCUGCAAGGCCAUGCACUCUACUGCGCUGAGUCCAAGAGAAGAUUUCCAAGUGAUUGCCAGUGAUUGGCUGGGGAGCUUGGAGACCUGAAUCAAAACCUGAAGCUGUCAACUUGCUGAAGUAGUGAUGGAGUAUGUACAAAGAAUGCAGCGGAUAAUGGCAGUCCUGUCCUCUGAACAGAUGGUGAUGGUCCUGUUGCUAGGAUAAGGCCUGAAGAAUUUAGUUUUUAAUUCCACAUUAUUUGCCUCGGUGCCAUGAAUAUCCCUAGGUUUCCUCAGGCAAAAAUACAACAAAUACACAGAAAGAGAAAGAGAAGUGACAUGCGGAUAGAAAAGGAGACAGAGCACGGGAAAGGACUGGAGCCAGGAUCCCGUUGCCACCUGAAUUAUUCCAGCAACCGCAUUAUGUACGUGGUGGACACUGAUUGACAAUUGUCAUUUGGCAAAAGAGCUGUUGUGGAAAAACCUGUGAAAACUUCUAGUGCCCGUGACCCAGUCCCUGCAUCAAUGCAUGUGCAAGGUGUAUACAAAAAACUAGACUGCAUCAACAGUUCCCCAUUUUCAGCCGCUCUGUGGUCGAUGACCAGAAUGGUGUCCAAACUGGAAGAAAACAUUACUCCUUAAUCUCACCAAAAUUUGAUAGCGAAGCUGAGCACUGGAGGAGUCUCAGUGGCGACUCCGAACCCCUAAGCUUUAUCCAGGGAUUUCUCAGCAUCGCCUGUCCGCUUUGCUAGGGGAAAGGGUGGUGACGAGGCAGUAGCCGUGAGGCAAGACGAGUAUUCGGGAUGUUGUGAGCAGGACAUGGGAGAGCAGUGGUGCCAGACUGAGCACGCUAAGCAGUGGCUGUGUUCAGACCAAAAGCAGGGACCCUGGACAUUAGCAACUGCAAAUGGAGUUACUGCCCUGUGCUGUCAUGUGUUGCCACCAAAUGUGAUGGAGGAGAAGCCACAGAUGCCUUCAGCUGAAAGAGAAGGUAGACUCCUGCAUGGUGUGUUUGCUGCUACUUCUGUGCUAGAAGUUUCCACAGAGGGCUGAGAGUGAUGCCUCCAGGGGAAGGUGAGGGACUUGAAGACCAGUUCCUGGUGAGACGAUGUCCUGAGCAGAGUACCAACCAGGAAUACCCUCUUCAGAAAUGUUGGGCUGAUUGAAGGGAUGAGUGUCAUGGGGAAAAGUAUAUGAUGGUGUAAUAGCUGUCCAUACAAUGGAAAGUUGGAUGGGUACAAGCAAUGAAAUUUGAAAUCAAUCCCAAAUCCUUCUGAAUCCAGGAGACCUUCGCACCCAUGAAGGCACCACUGCUGAGUCAGGCCCAUGGCUGCGUGCACACCCAAGAAAUACACACGUGCUGAUAGAAAACAGAUUUAAAAGGUAACCGUGAAAUUGCU